CGGAGGAAGGUGGGGAUGACGUCAAAUCAUCAUGCCCCUUAUGAUUUGGGCUACACACGUGCUACAAUGGACAAUACAAAGGGCAGCUAAACCGCGAGGUCAUGCAAAUCCCAUAAAGUUGUUCUCAGUUCGGAUUGUAGUCUGCAACUCGACUACAUGAAGCUGGAAUCGCUAGUAAUCGUAGAUCAGCAUGCUACGGUGAAUACGUUCCCGGGUCUUGUACACACCGCCCGUCACACCACGAGAGUUUGUAACACCCGAAGCCGGUGGAGUAACCAUUUAUGGAGCUACCUGUCAACGUGCCCAAAG
rnacentral:rRNA from 1 species